rnacentral:rRNA from 1 species
UACAGAGGGUGCGAGCGUUGUCCGGAAUCACUGGGCGUAAAGGGCGCGUAGGUGGCGACCCAAGUCGAUGGUGAAAGCUCGCCGCUCAACGGCGAGUCGGCCACCGAUACUGGGUUGCUGGAGCACUGUAGAGGCUCAUGGAAUUCCGGGUGUAGCGGUGGAAUGGCGUAGAGAGUCCGGAAGAACGACCGGUGGCGAAGGCGGGUCUCUGGGCCGAUAC